CUUAUUCUGUGCCUGGGAGCCAAAUGUGCAGACAUUGUUCCAAAAUGAAUAUUUGCAUGCAUGGAUGCACGCUUGGAUCUACACACAUGCACAUCUCUCUGUGCUGGGCAUGCAGCGAUCCCUGCCCCUAAGCUGGCCACAUGGUGAAGUGACAACCAACAGUCCAGGCCACUACGUGGAGUUUGACCUGUGGACUGGAAGACGCACACAUGCAGACAUGUUCCCCCAGCUCUGCUGGUGGUGCAGCAGAGAGGACCAGCUGCCUCUUUGGCCAUGGAGGCAGAGCCAGCAUUCACAGGAAGAGGAAGGAAGCUGCUGCGGCAUCACACGCCUGCUGCCUCCCGUGCCUUCCAAGGAACACAGGAGGCAGCUGGUUGGAAGGCAGCAAGAGGAGAGGCAGGGAAGAUAGGAGCUUGCUGCUGAGAGAGCAGGUUUACUCCUCCAUGUCCUGCUGCUGCUUUAGACGCAAGCUAUGCAAGCACAAAGGUGCACCAGAUCCCUCUGUCAUCUUCCCUGACCACCCAAGGUAUGGCCCUACCACACUGGUCACAAGAAGCAGGAUGGGGCUCUGGGCUUUGCUAGUACACAGAGUAUUCUGAUCUCAGCCUCCAGCUCCACCACUUCUUCUUCCCUUUUCAAAUUACAUGGUCCCUUGGCACCGCCAAAUUGUGAAAUAAGGACAUCAACUGUGGGGACUAGUAUAACACAAGGAAUUCAGGGUGCGUAAAUAAGGGGGCCAGGAAUGUCAUCGGAUGUCAGGGGAGUAGACGGACUGAUGAGAGCGCCUGUCUGGAUUCCCAGAAGCAUGAACUGCCUUGAGGUGGCUCGAGGACAGGAUGAAAAGGACAAUCAAUGAAGGUCUUUGACCAGAACUGGAAACAACGCGUGGCAGCCAAGUGGACUGGCGUGAUGCUGGUUUUGUUACAAGUUCAUUCGAGGACAAAUCAGACACUGCACUUACACGGAAUUGACUCUGCCGUUCAAUUCAUCUUUCCAGGUGGAGGAAAUGGAUUCCAGAAGGAAAACUCCUGCAUGGCAGGCAGCACGGAUGUGGUGUGCAUCCUGACACAUGCAAUGUCCCGCAGAAUGAGAGUGAGACAUGACUCUCCUGAGGGCCUGAGCCCGAGGAGAUUGUCCACAGCACAGAGAGCAGGCCCCGGGUCCGGGUGUGGCCUGGGGGGCAGGCACACAGAUUCAGGCACUACAUGGCCUUGGUUUAAAUCUCACUUCUGCUGCUCACUCAAUGUGUGACCUUGAGCAAUUUCAUUAACCUCUCCCUCAGUUUUCCAUCUGUGAAAUGGAGAGAUUAAUAACAUUCACCUUGUAAAGCUGUCUAAGAGUUUGGUAGAUGAAUAUUUGGAAGUGUUUAGAACAGUGCCUGGCAUAGAAAAUGCUAUAGAAGUGUUCAAUAAACUAAAUAAGGCAGGAAUGUUUUUCAGCCAGGCAUUUCUUUAUGGGUAACACUGGAAAGGAGUGAAGAGGACAACCACACUCGCACGCUAUAAGUGACUUGGGUGUCCUCAUGGCCCCCAGCUCCUGCCAUGUAUGUGCAGGUGUACUCUGUGACCUAAGGAUGUUGCCUAUGAAAUAAGUUGCUAUGACAUGCAUCUGAUUUCUUAUUCGAUUUCAGGAUAAAAUUAGGGUUGUGUCUGUUAGGGGGAAAAUGUGCCCUCAAAUACAAGAAAAUCCCUAGAGAAAGCCUGUUAAAAAUCACAUAUUUAAAAGAUCAAUAAUAUUUUUCUGACAGAGUAUUAGUGACAAUAAAUAAAUUGCCAAAUAGGACUGCAGACUAGCAGGACAGCUCAGUAUUUGAAUGACAGUUAAAGUUCUCAUGGGAAAUAGCAGUGACAACUGAACAUGUCACCAAUGAUGUGGCCUCAAUUGCACAAUAUAUGAGGGGCUCCUGCUGGGAGAGGCAGUCAGGCCAAGGACAGCCAGGCAGGGAAGGUCAAGGCUGGGAGAAUGGGCCACCCACUGUGGAGGCUGCCUGCAGCCUAGAGCCCUCUGUCUAGAUAGGGCAGAGAACAAGGUCUAGGAGUGGGGCAGAAGAGCCAAGGUCAAGGUAUGUCCAGACUGCUGUCAAUGAGCCAGAGGCUGACCUGAGUGGAAACCCAGGAUGCUAUGAUAAGACUUCUGGAGACAGAUGGUGCUAGCAUCAAGGGGACGUUCAGGCCACUUAGUAGGGCUGAUGAGGGGAAAUCCCAGAAACUGAACCCAGCUCUGGGAAAUAAAUGAGGCAAAGGGGGUUAGGAGUCUGCGGCUCAGGGGUAGGGCGCAACCCCUGCCAUGGGAAGAGAGGAGGAGGAAAAGGGCAUGAGGAGCCCAAGGGAUGGGGCAGUAGGUUGUUUCCAAACUCUCCCAGGCCGUGGGGCAGGGGCCCUUCCUAGGAAGUAUAUACUCCUUGGUCUGAACUCAGGGCAGCAGAAUGGUCAGGACUGGUAUAGAUGGGGACAGAGACGUACUGGUGGAACCCUGAAGUCUUAGCACUUCUCCCAGAGGUCAUAGUGGGCUUAAAAUACAGCAAUGUCAUAGCUUAAGGUCUGCUCCUGGGACUCUCUAGAAGUAGUUGUCCUUUAGAAAUACACAGAUCACCCUGGAGAUGCAGAAAUCUAGCCCAAGGCAAACAGCCCUGACACUGUGCAGGAGCACAGAUACCGGAACCCACUAUGGACAAAGUAGGGCAUGACUUCCCAAACCACCCGGCCUAGGGCACUUGAACCGGA
rnacentral:lncRNA from 1 species